rnacentral:rRNA from 1 species
UACGGGGGGAGCAAGCGUUGUUCGGAUUUACUGGGCGUAAAGAGCGCGCAGGCGGUCGAUCAAGUCGCGUGUGAAAGCCCCCGGCUCAACUGGGGAGGGUCACGCGAUACUGAUCGACUCGAAGGCAGGAGAGGGUAGUGGAAUUCCAGGUGUAGCGGUGAAAUGCGUAGAUAUCUGGAGGAACACCGGUGGCGAAGGCGGCAUCCUGGACCAAUUCUGACGCUGAUGAGCGAAAGCCAGGGGAGCAAACGGG